GGUGCGGCCGCAUUUGGAAUACUGUGUACAGUUCUGGUCGCCUCAUCUCAAAAAGGAUAUUAUAGAGUUGGAAAAGGUUCAGAAGAGGGGAACCAGAAGGAUCAGGGGGAUGAAGCGACUCCCUUACGAGGAAAGGUUGCAGCAUUUGGGGCUUUUUAGUUUAGAGAAAAGGCGGGUCAGAGGAGACAUGAUAGAAGUGUAUAAAAUUAUGCAUGGCAUUGAGAAAGUGGAUAGAGAAAAGUUCUUCUCCCUCUCUCAUAAUACUAGAACUCGUGGACAUUCAAAGAAGCUGAAUGUUGGAAGAUUCAGGACAGACAAAAGGAAGUACUUCUUUACUCAGCGCAUGGUUAAACUAUGGAAUUUGCUCCCACAAGAUGCAGUAACGGCCACCAGCUUGGAUGGCUUUAAAAGAAGUUUAGACAAAUUCAUGGAGGACAGGGCUAUCAAUGGCUACUAGCAGUGAUGGCUGUGCUCUGCCACCCUAGUCAGAGGCAGCAUGCUUCUGAAAACCAGUUGCCGGAAGCCUCAGGAGGGGAGAGUGUUCUUGCACUCUGGUCCUGCUUGCGGGCUUCCCCCAGGCACCUGGUUGGCCACUGUGAGAACAGGAUGCUGGACUAGAUGGGCCACUGGCCUGAUCCAGCAGGCUCUUCUUAUGUUCUUAUGUUGAUUGAUUGAUUUUCCGGUGGCUGGGACUGAAUCGGAGUGCCAUGACUCCUUUCUACUCUAUUUGUCGAUGGUCACUUGGCCUUAUUCCUAACAUGUUUUGUUCCUAACACAUUUGUUGUACGGAUGAGUGUUCUCUUUUUCGUGGCCUAUGUUUGAUCCUUGAGUUUUCUGUUGAGGCUGAUCUCUAAAGCUUUUCCAAGAAAUGAAACUAAGCCUCAACGAGAGGGGAGGAGCAAAAGUAUUUGCUGAAGCAUUUCCUCUCUCUGAGCUGUAGGGGGAGCUGCACUACCCACUUGGAGACCUCUCGUCAUCGAUGAAGAAACACCGUUUAUGUGAGCAGUCACUUCUGUUACUGCCAUGCUUUGCCUGGUGGCUUUUUGUGACAUGACAUCUCUUUGAAGAGGAGGGGAGAUUUUGGCCUUUCUACAUCUAUAAGUGCAGUGAGAUUGAGCUGCAGCAAGGCAGAGCCUGGAGUCAAACUCUGGGCCGGAAGCCACAUUUGACCCCAGAAGAAUAAUACAGACAUGGCUUCAGUUGCUCAACCCAAACUGGAGUUUCGUUCGUGCACCAUCUGCUACUAAUACUGACCUUUGAAGACAGGGCUGGAGCACCAAUUUUUCACAAGGUGGAGUUGGCUGCUCCGAGUUCACUGGUAGUGCCCUUUCUUCUAUUGAAUUGUUCUUCUGCAUCCCGAGGUGACUCCAGUCUCAUACCCAGCAGCAGGAGCAAGGAAGCAAGUGCUCCAACUGAGAGGGCCACUGUGACCAUCCAGACACAAGUUGCAAGUAUCAGCAAUGCAAGCAUGAAAACUAGAGCCCAGUUCCAAGCUUAUUUCCCAGCAACUUUGAAAGCAAGAAAAGCUUGGAGUUUGGAGAAGGGAUGGUUGGAAAGGAGCUUGUGUGUGAGUAAAACCUUACUCUAUCCCUCAUGCGGUGCUCUGCUCACACAAUUGUUGGACAGCUUUUCUGUACAUGUGUCUCGAAAUUUUUCCGCCACCCUCUGAAAUUUCUAAAUUGGGUAUGGGAGGCCCCGAUUACUUCAAGCAGUCCAGGGUAAGCUUAAACUAGCUCAUGGGGAUAGUCUGCUGGACCCAUUGAUUGCUUUCUAGGAGCAGUUUGAAUGCAAAGUGGCUUGUAGAUGCAGAGCUCUUGUUUGUGAGGUGUAGUGAAAGAACAUGAAGGAAGGCUGGGCUGUGACACUAAGAGCAUCUCUGCUAAACUUGGCUUGUUGCUACUUCUGCACUACCACCACCAUUCUGGUGUGUAUUUCCUUGGAUGGCCCAUGAAGCUUCGUUGCUAGUAAGCAGGGCUACCCUACGAUAGUUUAGGUGUAGAAAGUCCUGGCUUUUAUAUUUUGCUCCUUCUGUAGAAAACAAACAAACAAGAAUGAUGGCUUAUUGCCAUUUAUCAACACUUACCAGCAGGAAGAGCUAGCUGUAUUUCCAAGAAACAAACAGUGGCAUAUUGCCUCUUGGGGCUCUUUUCCCCUUAGACAGCCCAGUUUAUGUGCUUCGUAUCUUAGGAAAGAAAAUGGCAUUCUAAACAUGACAUUUUGAUCUGAGCUUUUAAAAUGGUGGUGUUUAAGAGAAGGUGUAUGUAUGUAAUUAUGAGGGUGACAUUUCAUAGUUUCAUUCAUGGACAGGGCCAGUAAGAUUAUUUAAUAAAUAAUGCAAGCGUUACAGGACGUAUGCUGCAGUGUCCCCUCUGGCAUUUGCUUUCUCUUUUGUAGACAUUAUAGCUGUCUGUCUAAGUGAUGGGCAGACAUUCCUUAGGUCUAGCUCUGGAGAAAUGGUGUGGUGCCUUUGCCAUAGCCCCCCUCUGUGUGAUCUUCUUCCACAUUAGGUUUGGAAGUGGCAGAGUGCCUGGCUGCACUGCUUUGCAUCCCCUUUCAUGUCCUUCCAGGCCUGGCCCACCCCAAACAAAGGGCUCUGAUGUUAUAGAAACAUAACUUUUAUUGCAUGCUGCGCUGGCUUUUUGUUUUUAUAUAAAAAUGUAUUAACACAGAGGCAGAUGCAACUUGAAGCAAAUCCUAUGGUUUUCCAAACAGUAAAACAACAUGCAGUGUCUCCAAUGAGUCUCUUCAAAACCGUCAGGGUUGUUUGAUAAGGAAAGUUGAGGGGUGGGGAAGAGAUGAGAGAGUACACAGCCAGUCUAUUUCUGUGCUCUCUUCAAGGAUGAUGUGAAACAGUAAAACCUCCAGUGAAAAACAGAUUACCAAAUUGCUUUGCGCCCUUGGCUGGUUCCCCCCCUCCCAGCUUUGGAGAAGAAAAUAGUUUCAUUUAUACAAAAAUGUCCAUUCUAUACAAGAGCUUCUUUUAUUUCAAUAUAAAUAAC